rfam:Haemophilus pittmaniae HK 85 ctg1129913985422, whole genome shotgun sequence.
UUUUAUUUUUAUUAACAACACACACAUAUCAACAAGGCUCAAUCGGGGUGCCAAACGGUCGAUUGGCUGAUAUGUGGAGGCUCAAC